AGAAGAACAUAAAUUGAAAAUAUAUCAAUUUUUAGUAAUUAAAUUCAACAUCAUCCUAUUACUAAAAAGUAAAGAUACACACAACUCUGAACAGAAAGCUUUUUUUAUUUUCAGAAACAUGUUUGACCUCAUUGUAGAUCUACAUUAUUACUUACAAUACUGAAAUUAAUAAAAGUGAAAUACUGUAUAAAUACUACUGAGAUAUGACAUUGCUAUACUCCUAUACACAUAAAAGACAUUCUGCAUUAUUCUUAGUAAAUAUAAAAAAAAUUUUUUUCAUCAAUAUAAUUUGCAUAUUCAAUAAAAUCAAUGCAAAUUAUAAAAAAUGCAUAAAAAACAUUUUAAAGCUAUGGCAAAUUCAAAUGAGAUACUCUCUUCAGUCACAUAUCAAUCAUUGCCACACCAUCAGCUAGUAAUGUCGAUCCAUGGAGUUUAGAAUUUCAGCAUGCAGAAUUUCAACCAUCUUUAUAAGACUAUCAUUAUUAAUCAAGCUUGCCACUUCAUCUUCAUUCCACUUAAUAACCAUGUUGUGUUCAUAUGUUCUCAAUGUCAAUGCUGUGCUUAUGAAGCCUUUUUAUAUUCUCUUUAACCAAGAUCUGUAGACAUCUCGCUGAUAUGAUGUAAAAUUCAUGUUCAGGUCUCUAUUGAAUAAAGGUAUGUUGUAUACACCUGUUCUAUUUAUUCUCUGUAGCUAUUUUCUAUUUAUUGUUACAUAUAAGAUUAAAAAAUCACAUUCCUGUUUUCAAAACCAAUCUUUUCUUAGAGACUUUUAGCAAAUCUCUCAUUGGAAUUGAAUAGCAACUUUCAGAUAAUUAGAUUGGUUAGAAAUAUGUGCCUUAUUAAAAAUUGCUUCUAAUUCUCUAAAAAUAUUAAACAACACUAUAUAACUUAUAAUAUUCUAAUAAUCUAUUUUCCAAUUAAUCCAACUCUUGAUUUUAUAGAGUUGCCAUUUUUCUGAAUGAAAUGGAGGCUUAUAAGAUCAAACCAAUGUCUUGUCUGUCCUCCCACUAAUAACUUUUAAACUAAUUAGUGGAUUUUUUAUAAAUUUGGUGAUGAUGUUUAGCCAUUAAGGAAUACCUUGACACUGCAUCCUUUAAUCCCACAGGAUAGGAUUUCAUUUUUAUUACAGUUUUAGUUUAUAUUAGUGUCAAUAGACAGAGGGAUACCAAUAGACACCAAAUAAUAAAUAAAUGAAAAAUAAAUGACACCUUCAGAAAAUAGGCAAUUUUAGUUUUUUCUGAAAGUUC
rnacentral:lncRNA from 1 species